AUUUUAUUAUUUACUUCAUAAUAAAAACACGAUUUUCAGACUACAGAAUCGAUCCCUGAAUUAUCCCCAGAUUACGAUCUUACAAAUCGAUUUUCACUACGCCAUGACGUCAGAAGUGAAGCUACGUAUUGUCAUGAACGUGAACGCAAGGGGGGGGAGAAAGUGGAAUGCAUAGAAUCCAUAAGAAAACCAGAAGAUGAAGGAUGUUAUGUCUUUCCUCCAGAAUAUCAAGCAAGAGAUCAUCAUCCGCGUUUAUUCAGUUUAUCGAUAGUGAAGAAAGCCGCAAACAGCUUAACAAAGGUAGGCCAUUACAGAAACAUUUCAGUCACGAUAGAUGACGCGACAGCAGCGUCAUACAUCGAUACAAGUUUAAACUUCGAGUUUCGAGAUAUUUACUUAGAAGAAUCGGAGAUCAUCCCCACAAGAAAAAUAAAGACCGAAACCGAAAAACCCAAUCUUCAAAUAGAAGCAUUAUUAGAGAUCUUCCGGAAACAAAACAUGCAUGAGAGGUAAGGCACGGACUUUGACAUAAAACAAUUUGAUGGAAUGCAAAAAGUCACAGAUUGGAUAUUAGAGUAAGAAACGGAAUGCGAAAGAUACGAAAUCCAAAACGACGAAAAAAGGAUCAAGAAUUUGAAGAAAUAUUUGGGAAAAACAGCAUCAGAAUGGUACCAGACAAAUCUGCUGAAUGAUGAAGAAUACAAGUGGGAAAACUGGAAGGCGGUUCAUUCACCAAAUAUGCCAUAAAACAGGACCGAUUAAUAUUGGAAGUAAGGAGGAAGACCUCCGAUGAGACAAGGAUAAAUGUAAUUGUUAUUCGAUUACCCAUACACAUUCAAGAUAAAGUCUAUAAAGAAGCAGUACAAUCAACAGGUGAUCUAAUCGGACUCUUGUUGCAAUACAAAGACCACAGGAAAGGAAGAAAAAGUCAAGAGAGUAAUGCAAGAUUGAACAGAAUGCCAGAGCCACCACGCAAGGAUCUACCGUGUGUGCUUUGUGAAGCACUGAAUUUCCCAGGCCAAUGUUACCCAAUACAAGUAUGCAGAAACAGAAACAGAAAUGCACAGAGGAACCAAAACCAGGUAAAUUCAUUAGAAGCAUUCAUUACAGAAAGUAAUGAAUGCAAUAACACCAGAUGAGAAUGGAAAAAACUAAAAUGCCCGGAAAAAUACGAAUCACUAAUAAAGCUCCUUGUUAGAAUCAACGACCAGAAAGAGAUUGAGGGCUCCAAAAAAUCAUUGACCAAAUAAAGGCAGAUAUAAUAAAAGACAAGAGUAUGUUUAAAACUAUCAGUGGGAGGGACUUCACGAAUAGCGGGGCAAAACUUAGAAUGAAAAUUAAUAAAGUAGAGAAAGAAAUAAAUGUUUAUAUAGCGCAUAAUGAUAACUUCACAUAUGAUCUCAUCUUAGGGCUGGACGCCAUAAGAGAGUUCAAGUUGAAACAAGAUGAGAAUUUGAGAGUUAGUCAAAAAGUAGA